AUGAGGUAUGCGUCGCCAGCGGCCACCGUGGACCACCGCGUCGCAGCGCUGGCGGCCACCGAGGACCACCGCGUCACAGAGCCAGCUUCAUCGAUGAACACUGCAAUGCAGCACCGUUCGCAUGGAGCUUGGGCAGCGCCAUGUUGGAGCUUGGGAGACAUCAUGUUGCCGCGCCGCAGCCAUCGACGGCCACCGCAUCGUAGCGCCGGUGUCACCGACGAGCGCUGUAACGCAUGUGAAGCUUGGUCGCAUGGAGCUUGUGAGGCAGCAGCACUUAGAGCUGAUGAGGCAGCAGGGCAGCGUGUCCAUGGCCAUGGUGGAGAGAGCGGAGAGAGAGGCGCAGAGAAGAACAGAAGAGAUCGAGUUUGGUUAAAAAAUCAGUGGAUCUCGUGA
rnacentral:rRNA from 1 species